UAAGCUAUAGUUUAAUAAAAACACUUAACUUACAAUUAAAAAUUACCUGUAUUAGUUUAA
rnacentral:tRNA from 1 species